CCUACGGGUGGCAGCAGUGGGGGAUAUUGCACAAUGGGGGAAACCCUGAUGCAGCGACGCCGCGUGUGGGAAGACGGUCCUCUGGAUUGUAAACCACUGUCCCCAGGGACGAAGAUGACGGUACCUGGGGAGGAAGCUCCGGCUAACUACGUGCCAGCAGCCGCGGUAAUACGUAGGGAGCAAGCGUUGUCCGGAAUUACUGGGUGUAAAGGGAGCGUAGGCGGGAUGGCAAGUUGGGGGUUAAAUCUCCCGGCUCAACUGGUGUUCGCACUCAAAACUGCUAUUCUUGAGUGAAGUAGAGGCAGGCGGAAUUCCUAGUGUAGCGGUGAAAUGCGUAGAUAUUAGGAGGAACACCAGUGGCGAAGGCGGCCUGCUGGGCUUUUACUGACGCUGAGGCUCGAAAGUGUGGGGAGCAAACAGGAUUAGAUACCCGGGUAGUC
rnacentral:rRNA from 1 species